GCUCCUGUAGACAUAGAGAUAGCUCAGUUGGUGGGGAAUGAGACUCUUGAUCUCAGAGUUGUGGGUUCAAGCCCCAUGCUGGGCA